GCGAGCAUCCGUAAUGAGCCGCGAGCGAGAGGCGGGCGGCCGGCCGAGUGUACACAAUGCCCGGCGGCCGGGGGCGCCGGGAGGACGCGGGGGGCGCCCCGGGCAGACUAUCACUGCAUUUGAGCAGAACCAAAGUACUCAAGCUGUACAUGUCCUGGAUGCCUUUACAGCCACUGAGGGACACUUCAACCUCAAUUAAGGAGGGCAGGACUCUUGGGAAUCCGAAAGGACUCUAAUGCCAAUGAAUCCUGACAGCCCUUGCCAACCGUUAGCCAACAUAUACCAAUCAGACUUCCUUGGAGAUUCGGGAAGAACUCUGAAUACUCCCAAGAGAACAGCCAGGUCUGAAGAGCCUUCCUACAUUCCUGUACAAUGUGCUUUUCUUUCCAUUCUAUGUAUGGCACGAAGCUACUGCAAAACAGAGCAACUCGUUUCCCCCUCAUCUAUGGGUGCUGAGAAACAAAAUUUUGUGGUAUCAUUUUAAAUGAGAAUUCAUCUAAAAAGUAUAAAAGGACACUUGGACUUGGCAAGGUUUUCCAGGUAAAACAUGAA